rnacentral:rRNA from 1 species
GGCGAGCGCGGGCGGCUUGCUUGACACAGUGCGAGUCGAGCGAGGAGGCCUAGCUUGCUAGGUGGAUUAGUGGCGAACGGGUGAGUAAUACGUGAGUAACCUACCUUUAACUCUGGGAUAAGCCUGGGAAACUGGGUCUAAUACCGGAUACGACCAAUCUCCGCAUGGGGUGUUGGUGGAAAGCGUUAUGUAGUGGUUAUAGAUGGGCUCACGGCCUAUCAGCUUGUUGGUGAGGUAACGGCUCACCAAGGCGACGACGGGUAGCCGGCCUGAGAGGGUGACCGGCCACACUGGGACUGAGACACGGCCCAGACUCCUACGGGAGGCAGCAGUGGGGAAUAUUGCACAAUGGGCGCAAGCCUGAUGCAGCGACGCCGCGUGAGGGAUGACGGCCUUCGGGUUGUAAACCUCUGUUAGCAGGGAAGAAGAGAGAUUGACGGUACCUGCAGAGAAAGCGCCGGCUAACUACGUGCCAGCAGCCGCGGUAAUACGUAGGGCGCGAGCGUUGUCCGGAAUUAUUGGGCGUAAAGAGCUUGUAGGGCGGUUUGUCGCGUCUGCUGUGAAAGACCGGAGCUUAACUCCGUGUAUUGCAGUGGGUACGGGCAGACUAGAGUGCAGUAGGGGAGACUGGAAUUCCUGGUGUAGCGGUGGAAUGCGCAGAUAUCAGGAGGAACACCGAUGGCGAAGGCAGGUCUCUGGGCUGUAACUGACGCUGAGAAGCGAAAGCAUGGGGAGCGAACAGGAUUAGAUACCCUGGUAGUCCAUGCCGUAAACGUUGGGCACUAGGUGUGGGGGACAUUCCACGUUUUCCGCGCCGUAGCUAACGCAUUAAGUGCCCCGCCUGGGGAGUACGGCCGCAAGGCUAAAACUCAAAGAAAUUGACGGGGGCCCGCACAAGCGGCGGAGCAUGCGGAUUAAUUCGAUGCAACGCGAAGAACCUUACCAAGGCUUGACAUAUACUGGACCGCAUCAGAGAUGGUGUUUCCCUUCGGGGCUGGUAUACAGGUGGUGCAUGGUUGUCGUCAGCUCGUGUCGUGAGAUGUUGGGUUAAGUCCCGCAACGAGCGCAACCCUCGUUCUAUGUUGCCAGCACGUUAUGGUGGGGACUCAUAGGAGACUGCCGGGGUCAACUCGGAGGAAGGUGGGGAUGACGUCAAAUCAUCAUGCCCCUUAUGUCUUGGGCUUCACGCAUGCUACAAUGGCCGGUACAGAGGGUUGCGAUACUGUGAGGUGGAGCUAAUCCCUAAAAGCCGGUCUCAGUUCGGAUUGGGGUCUGCAACUCGACCCCAUGAAGUCGGAGUCGCUAGUAAUCGCAGAUCAGCAACGCUGCGGUGAAUACGUUCCCGGGCCU